rnacentral:rRNA from 1 species
CCCGCUCGCCGGAAGACCAAGGGUUCCUGUCCAACGUUAAUCGGGGCAGGGUGAGUCGACCCCUAAGGCGAGGCCGAAAGGCGUAGUCGAUGGGAAACAGGUUAAUAUUCCUGUACUUGGUGUUACUGCGAAGGGGGGACGGAGAAGGCUAUGUUGGCCGGGCGACGGUUGUCCCGGUUUAAGCGUGUAGGCUGGUUUUCCAGGCAAAUCCGGAAAAUCAAGGCUGAGGCGUGACGACGAGGCACUACGGUGCUGAAGCAACAAAUGCCCUGCUUCCAGGAAAAGCCUCUAAGCAUCAGGUAACAUCAAAUCGUACCCCAAACCGACACAGGUGGUCAGGUAGAGAAUACCAAGGCGCUUGAGAGAACUCGGGUGAAGGAACUAGGCAAAAUGGUGCCGUAACUUCGGGAGAAGGCACGCUGACACGUAGGUGAAGUGAUUUACUCAUGGAGCUGAAGUCAGUCGAAGAUACCAGCUGGCUGCAACUGUUUAUUAAAAACACAGCACUGUGCAAACACGAAAGUGGACGUAUACGGUGUGACGCCUGCCCGGUGCCGGAAGGUUAAUUGAUGGGGUCAGCGCAAGCGAAGCUCCUGAUCGAAGCCCCGGUAAACGGCGGCCGUAACUAUAACGGUCCUAAGGUAGCGAAAUUCCUUGUCGGGUAAGUUCCGACCUGCACGAAUGGCGUAAUGAUGGCCAGGCUGUCUCCACCCGAGACUCAGUGAAAUUGAACUCGCUGUGAAGAUGCAGUGUACCCGCGGCAAGACGGAAAGACCCCGUGAACCUUUACUAUAGCUUGACACUGAACAUUGAGCCUUGAUGUGUAGGAUAGGUGGGAGGCUUUGAAGUGUGGACGCCAGUCUGCAUGGAGCCGACCUUGAAAUACCACCCUUUAAUGUUUGAUGUUCUAACGUGGACCCGUAAUCCGGGUUGCGGACAGUGUCUGGUGGGUAGUUUGACUGGGGCGGUCUCCUCCUAAAGAGUAACGGAGGAGCACGAAGGUUGGCUAAUCCUGGUCGGACAUCAGGAGGUUAGUGCAAUGGCAUAAGCCAGCUUGACUGCGAGCGUGACGGCGCGAGCAGGUGCGAAAGCAGGUCAUAGUGAUCCGGUGGUUCUGAAUGGAAGGGCCAUCGCUCAACGGAUAAAAGGUACUCCGGGGAUAACAGGCUGAUACCGCCCAAGAGUUCAUAUCGACGGCGGUGUUUGGCACCUCGAUGUCGGCUCAUCACAUCCUGGGGCUGAAGUAGGUCCCAAGGGUAUGGCUGUUCGCCAUUUAAAGUGGUACGCGAGCUGGGUUUAGAACGUCGUGAGACAGUUCGGUCCCUAUCUGCCGUGGGCGCUGGAGAACUGAGGGGGGCUGCUCCUAGUACGAGAGGACCGGAGUGGACGCAUCACUGGUGUUCGGGUUGUCAUGCCAAUGGCACUGCCCGGUAGCUAAAUGCGGAAGAGAUAAGUGCUGAAAGCAUCUAAGCACGAAACUUGCCCCGA